rnacentral:lncRNA from 1 species
AGUCCCUCUGAACUAAGCCUCCUUAGCAAGCUGAAUCCAUGAAGAGAGGCCAUUCUAGUCUUCAUGGUGGAAUAAUUUCCACGAAAUGCUUUGGACAUGUUGAGGACUCUGACUCUGUAAUUCUGAGACAUUGGGGUCCAUUAUUUCUGAAGAUGGGUACACCUGGAUUGAUUUAAAAUGUUAUGGAAGAAUUCAGAUCCAGUGCCCUUCUUCAUUCCAGACAUGGUGCUUUGAACAAUUUGACUUGGAGGCAAGAUUGCGAUAUAGAAAAUGGGCCACUGUGGAGGAGAUAAGUAAAUGCUUUGUCGCUUCUAAGUGACAGGGGAAACUGAUCACGAUUGGUAUACUUCUGACAUGUAACUUUCUAUAUCUUUAGAAGAUCGUCAGGGAAAUAGAAAAAAAAAUCUGAAAUCUCCAAGUAGGUUCUACUUUGUGUGGUUCCAACUAAAUGAACUAAAUUUGUGUUUAAAGAUUGUAAGUC